UCCUGUCUUUUCCUUCAUAUACUCACCUAGAGCUCUGUGUAGCAUUGCAAAGACCCUUCCAGUGUCUUGUCCAAGCCCAUGCAUCAACUCGACUUAUACUCUUUCAUUAUCAUGGCAAUAGGAAGUGGGAAGUUUAGAAGGAAGAAAAAUGGGAUGAGGGAGGGAGGAACAGAGAAGGAGUAGCCAGGAAGAGGUAAUCACAUCAGAAUAAAAAAGUUCAUUUCACUGAUGAGGAAACUGAGACUGAGAAAGGAAUGUGACUUACAUAAGUCACACAGGAGAGACCAGAACCUUGUUUUCUGACCGCUGACCCUAUGCCUUUCCACUGUAUCGUGAAUAUUUCAGCAAGUGUAUCUGCCACACACAGAAAAAAACAUACUGGUUCAUUUCCAAAGACAGCAACCUCAUUGUCAGGGUCAUGGGUUGAAAUUUAAAGAAUUAUUCCUGAUUUAAACACAGCCUUUCACUUGGAGCAAUGACUCAGGCUAAUUUUGCAGGCGGCAUGUUUUCCUUUGAGAUUUCUCACCCGAUCUGUUCCCCAUCUCCUAGAUUGCAUAAGGGUAACGAUGAAUUCCUUGACUGGAUCCCAACUUCCCGAGGCUCAAAAUAAUCACUGUUCUGUUUUCCAUGGGAGAUGAAGAUAUAUAUUAGGAUUUUAACAGUCUUUGAAUAUUCACUUUCAAAACAGGAGACAUCCGUGGCAGGUGGGGCUUGCAAAUGAUAUUUCUAAUCAGAUGUUCAUCCAGAAAGUAAUUAACUUUAGGAAAGUAAAGGCCCUAGAGGCUUCUGAAAAGAUUUCCUUACUCUCUGCUCUCCCUGAGCAUUGCUUGAUCUUUGCCUCCCCCUGAGCUGCAGAGCCCAAAGGGAAGAUGAGAAGAAAGUCCUGCUGAUAUGGAUGCAGAUCACAUUUGGGUGACUCAGAGCUGUGGGCAGCCCUGGGCAGGAACAGGUUGGGGAUGACUACCUCCCACUGGCAAAUGCAGAACUUGGAAGAAGGUUAAGUGAUUCCCAAGCCAACUACUUAGUGAUCAAGACACUCCUAGAACUCAGAACUUCUGACUCCACCACUGGAGCAUCGUACCUUGUGUUUUAGAGAACAGAAGGCCUUACGUCGGUGGUCACUGUCAUUUUUGGUUCCAACCUGAGCCAAAGGAGUUGAAGCUGGAAACAGGUGGAAUGGGGACCCUCUGCGCUUCUGGGAAAUCUCACAUCUUUCGUGGAGUCAGAUGGAAGACAAAAGAGAAGCACACAAAGUAAAGGCCAUGUGAAGACACAGAGAGAAGGCAGCUGUUU